GUAAUAACCAAAAGAAAAAAAAAAAGCAGCAAAAACCAACAUGAUAAAUUCGUUUCAAAACCUUAUUAUUAGCAGUGCCAUCAUAAUUAUCAUUAUCCCUAUUAUUGUCAAAAGAGAAAUGAUACUGUUAUUUAGGAAAAGAAGGUCAUCAUUUCUUUCUUGAUGAAGGUUAUAAUCUCUAUUUCUCGUUUCUAUGAACUGUCAGUCAAUGGGAAAAGAUGGCAAAAAAAUAAAAAUAAAACAAAUAUAAAGGAGUUUGAG
rnacentral:misc_RNA from 1 species